GGGCCUCGGGGCGGUCCCCAGGGCAGCGGGGCCCCCGGGACGGCGGGCCUCCUCCCGUCCAUCCCUUCGCGGGAGACGGAGCCCGGCGGAGAGCUGCGGCUGUGCGUCCCCGGGCCGUGCAUCGCAGCUUAGGGAGCAGCGGCCGCGGAUGCAGCGGUUUUCCAUUCGCUGCCAAACGGGGUAUGCGGGCUCUGCAGGGCAUCGCCGCGGGGAGGGGAGGGGAAGGGAGCGCGAGGUGCUGCAGUUUGGAGGAGACGGCUGCUGCUGCGGGGUUUAACGAGGGGUAGUCUCAGGGCCGUGUUAUUAGAAGAGCGUUAAAGUAUUGCGGCGCUGUUGUCUUGCAGCCCCCUGGUUUCUGGCAGCACGCUGGUGCAUCCGUAUCUCAGUGGGUUUUUCUGCUGGUCGAAUGAAAUAAGGGAACAUGUGGGCCACAUCCCAGUGAAGCGAGGGAUGUUCUGUUUCCAGAGCUCUUUUCAUCCCAUCUUUCACUCCUAGUCAGUGGAAUUCCAUGAGAAAAUGUCGUCUUUGAAGACUGCUGCUUCAGACCCUCAUUAGGCAGCUCAGUGCAUCUGUACUCAUCUGUGCUGUGGUUUUUAUUUCUGGUGAUUCUCCAGCUGCGUUUUCUGGAACCACGGCGCUCUUCUCUGAUAGAGGGAUUGUUUGGUGAUGCAAGGAGGUAUCUCCGUGGCACAAUUCUGAGUAGAUAGCAGAAAGCUUACUAACAGUAAUGACAUAGUCCUGUUACCUUUUAGGUCUGCUCAGGACCAAUCUAAAUGAUGCCCAUUAGUCAGACUCUGAGUUAGUGCACAGCAGAAUUGACCCAUCGCUGUUGUAUUUGUGGGGUUAGAGUCAUUAUAAAUAAGCCUUGCAAUCUGUGGGAAACACAUGAAACUUCUUUCAUAUUUCUGACUCCUGCUCUAUGCUGGGAUGAGGAGCAGAAAGGGGAAGGCUGUUGGAUAACUCCAUUCUGUAAGCAGGGCAUACUCUGCAAUCCUAAGCUUGGCAGGCAGGUAUGCUGUGUGUUUAUAUUGUAGCAGUUCAGCAAGCUCUUUGUGAUACCAUUAAGGCAUUUUGGUGCAUAAUGUAACUUAGUCUGGAACUGUGCCUUCUAUAAGCAUAAUUUCUUUGAAUUUAAAAUAAAGGAUAGCAAGAAUUGUUCAUUGUAGGCUGUGGCAAGACGAGCUUUGGACACAGUUACGAUUUUGAGAAUGAUCACUGGAUCAUUUGUGUUGCUUAAACUCAAGUACUAAUUUCUAAAAUGUCCUUAAUUUGUUCUGCAGGACGGAUAGAUGUUUUAGAUUUUUUUUAAUUCAGUGUUUUCUCUCCAACUUCUUAUGAACUUGAAAAAUUAAACCCUCUCAUCAACAGUGAUUUUCUUGUACUACCCUAAGCUAUAUUGCAUGUACAUCAAAGUGUUAGCAGGGCAGCUGGUACAAACAUCCUAGCACCACUGAAUGCAACGUAUGCUAAGUGAAGAUCUGUUGUUUCCCCCAGAAAAUGCUUGUUGUUUGUCAGGGAACUGUCAUUCAUUUUUUUUUUUAUUUUGUCUUGAAUAGCUUCUUGAUCCAGUGUACCAAGGUUGGCUGUUACUUUGCAUCAAGACUGAUCUAGAAGCACUCUCCAGCAGUGCAUUCACUGCUUGAAUUUAGCUAUUUCAUCUUACCCUGGGUCCGCACAAUACUUUUCUUGCUUUUCUAAGAAAAGCCCUGCUUGAGGAGGAUGCAGUGUUUGAGGAAGACACACAUACACAAGGAAUACCUUUUUGCAAGAGUUUGCCCUAUGAAGAUAGGAUAGGUGUCAAACCAACCACCUGAAAUGUUGUUUGGUCAUUCCAACGGAAACUCUUACAGUAGAAAGGGAUUGUUCUUAAAAGUGGUUGUAGCAACACAGCUGGGUGAUGCUCCAGUACUCUGUGGAUGAAUUGCAUACUACCGACCUUCUCUGUUAUGUUAAGCUUCAAGUAAGGGACUUGUCAGUUGCCACUGGCUGCAAAUAGCCAAGGUGAUUGGUAUGUUGCUCCUUUGCUUGGUGUGUGUUAGUCUCUCCCUUUUAGAGAGAUGGUAGCGGCAGUUUGGUGAUACUGUCAGAGUUAUUAAUGUCACAGAUAAGGUGAUGCAGGAGCAUCAGUCUCCAGAGGCUUAGAGCUGUGAGGAUGGUUAUUAAUAACAAAGAAGGGGGAGGGAAACAGCAUAAUGGGCUCUGCUUGUUUUUGUUGUGUUUGCAGUGGUGUCCACUACCCUAUUCAGAGGAUCUCUUUCAGACAUAAUGAAGAUUGAGAAGUGACCUAGCUUUCCACAUGUUUUUUUAUUUUUUCUUACAGUUUAGGAAUAUGUUUUGCCUAGUAAGGUAGAACUAUAGCUUGUGAAAGACAUUCCGUGUGCCUUUGUCUUCCUGAAUGUAAAUGUGCUGUAAUGUCACAGGCUUUAGAGUUCUAGAAGAUAAAUGCUUUUAAAGCAACCAGAGUUGGAUUGAUUAAGUUAUCUACUGCCAUACCAAAAAUGUAUGGUAUUGCCUUAACUGGGGAGGUUACUUUCAGAACUAGAAACUUCACAGUCUGUGAAUGAUUCUGAUUUAGUAAAUGCCUUUUGUUCAGCCACUUACAACUGUGGUAAGUGGUAUGUAGACCAAGCCCUCUACUGGUAGCUUUGUUCUGUUGUCCACUAAAUAAUGAAUGUGCUAGCUGGUUCCCUUGACAGACUGUAAGAUGUUGAUCUCAGAAGAAAAGCUUUACCCUGCUGCCCAAAUUAAACUGGGGAGGAAAAAAAUAAAAGCAUUCAUUUAAAAACAAAAAUGUGCCUGGCUACCUUCUACACAGAGGAAUUCACAUAUCUGUCCUCUGAAUUUGAAGACAGAAGUAAAUAAAACGUUGGUGAUAGUCUUGAUGCAGGAGUCAUUUAAAAUCACAGGGUUGAUUAUUUUUUCUAAUUUUUUAAUCAAGUUAGAUGGUGUGUUCUUUAAAAUGCUUUUUCUUUGAUUUUUGUUUUGUUGAAGGAAUAUUGCAGUUUCUCUUAUGAUUUGAAACAUCGGGCACAGUGAAAAAACUGCAUGUGGCAUUGCUUUUUUAACAAGGAAUGUAUACUUUUUUGAAUAUGGUGCAUGACUGCUGAACUUUUCUAGUUCUUGGUUUGUCUCUGGUAGUUAAGAUGCUUAGAAGACUAGAAGAUGAUUCUAGUCUAUCCAGUUAGCUGAUGAUGUAAUGUGAGGUUUGAAAGCUGCCUUCUCCUCACUGUCUCUUUGGAAGGCUGGCUCUUGCAGGUAGGACUCUUCUUGCAGCACCUUGGCUGUCGUCAAUCAUUAGGUCUCAGAGUUCUUGAGUUACUGUGAUUUUAAUUCAAAUCACUUCUUAUCUUUCUUGCUCUUUAUAUUUGUAAGCAGUACUUGUAUUUCUUUCUGAACUUGUGUCCUACUAAAAUAAAACACGAGAAGUUCUUUUAAGCUUGGUCACUGUACUUUUAGACAUCCUAGAAGCCUUUUAUUUGUAACUGUUCUUGUUCACACAUUUUGAAAAAUGAUGAGCUCAGCGUACAUGAACUUGGAUGAGGCUUUACUGACUGUGUGCAAAAUGAUGUUUAAUGCUUUUUUAAAAAUCUAUGUGGAAAAUUCUCACUUACCGUGGUAACACACAAUUAUUUUUUUUGCCUUGAUGGUGAUAACUAAUAAACUGCUGCCAAAAAUAGCAAUGUUUUGUGUUAGUCCUCCAAGGUUAGUUUUUUAAGGAAAAUUUGUAUUUUGCAUAAUUAUGUUGCAUGAAUCUUCUUAUCUGAUCUUUGUGAUGUCUUCAGUCUGGAACACCUAUCAAGUAAUGAAACCUUUGAACAGUCUUCAGCAAACUGCUAAUAUUGUUCUUACUACUUCAUUUUUGUUUUGUUCCAGAGAAGCUGGAAAUAACAGAGCUGUUAACAGGUUGUGGUUUGAAAAUGCAAGUAUGGGCUGCUGCUGAAAGCAUACAAAUCCUGCUUUGUCUUGUGGUUAUGUAUUUAUACAACUUUAAGCUGAAUCUGGAAACUGUUGUGGUUUAUACAAAAUAAACAACCCUCUCCCAAAAUUGGAGAUCUUUUACUCUGUCAGGUGGAUCAACUCCCUGAUAGUCCACAGCAGUGAUCAGCAAACUUUUUUGAUUCUGCAGCUAUCAGUAAAAUAAUUUUGAGCGCAUACCCACAGUAUGUGUUCAUUUAUAAAUUACAUUAUGUACAUUAUAUUAAUAGAGUAGUACAUUAUAAAAUAUAAACAAAUAGGAUGUAAAAAGGUGAGAUGAAGAUGAGCACCACUUCAAAAUUUUUUAAAAUUCUAUUUAUUUAUAUUACAGAAAAAUACUUUCUUCCACAUCCCAGUGGAUUGUUCUGCAUGUCUCUUGGGUUUUGUGCACCUUUCCCUGAAGACUACUGCAAUACUCUGAGCUUUGUGAGCACUAAUGUCAGAAAAGAAGGCACAGUAAUUUUCCAGUGGAGUACAAGGAAGGGAGGAGGUAGUGCUUGUUCAGAAAAAACUUGACUUUAAUAAGCUGAUCUUUGCUCUCAUGUCGUCUGUGUCAGUAAGAUGUUCAAGACCAAAACAUGAAAAAUAGUACUGAUUUCUCUCUGGAUAGCUUUUCUUUCAGCAUAGGCUACGUCAGAACAGGUUAAAAAUGAAAAUGCUGCAGAGUGAUUAUUAAUCUUCAAAUUAACUUUCUCCCCCUUUGGUACUGUAUUUGAUCAUACCUCAUUUGAUUUUUCAUUCCUAAAGAGUAUUCUUGCAGAGAAGGAUGUUGGCAAGAUCACUAUCUUGGAGUAAUUCAAAACAGUGUACUACAUCUUCAGAUGCAUCCUUCAGAUUUUCUCCUGAAGCCCUGUAUAAUAUUCAAAUGAUGUGAGCAACCACAAACCCAUUCCUCUUGCUCCUCUUUUUGACAUAGUUAGCAGUAAUUGCAAUAUGUUCAUUUGCUAACUAUUUUAACUCCACCAAGAUACUUUUCAAAUUGUUUGCCUUUCACUAUUGUGGAAGUUAUCCAGUUCUUACGGCUUGAGCACGUGGAACAUCUCUGAUUUAUUUCUCCACUUCAGCAUGUUGAUUAUUCCUGAUAAACUUAAUGUUGUGGAUUUUUUUUCUCUCUAGAAAAAAAGCCAUUUUCUCUGGAUGCUAAAUUUAACUCACAGAUGUGGUGAGUAAAAAUAAAAUAAAAAUGUUCCUAUCCAACCACUUUAACAAGGAAGGUCACCUAAUGUCUUCAUUUCCCAAGUUGACUUCCUCAGAUGAACUGCUUCUAUUUCAGAUUAGUAAAAUUUUUGAAUUAAAAGGAAAUAGCAGCAUCUGUUGCAGCUGUGAAGGAGCACUCAGUGCUAGGUUAAUGUUUCAACUUGCUCGAAGGAGUUUCUGUGGUAGAGAGACUCCUAAGGCUAUCCUGUGUAAUCGUUCUCUUAAACUGGAAGUGUUUUGACAGCUUUGACUUGAAUGUAACCCUGUACAAGUGCUGUGCUUCAUGAUCAUACUAGCUCUGCUCUGUGAUGGCUUAAGGUACUGUGCAGUAAGCUCCAUCUGUCAAUUCAUGGUAUGACAUUAAAAAUUUAACCAGUCCUUAAUUGAUUUUUCAGUUACUUCACUGGAGUGUUUAGUCUAUUAUAAGAAAAUGGGUUAAAUGUAAGUUCAUUACCUGGAAAUAGACUUAUAAUUAGAAACUGAAGAAUGUUUUUAAUGUUGCGGCUGCAUACUGUGCUACGUUUACUCCUUACUCCCUACCUCUUGAGUGGAAAUUGCAUCGUGUUCUGUUUGUCAGAAAUAGAUGACAAUUGAGAAGCAAUUUCUUGAGCAAGAAUUCUAAAAAUCAACCUUUUAGAGGUAUGGAGGGUAGAAGAUGACUUGGGAAUUUGCUGUAUUGAAAACAAGUUCUUGAGUGAGACUGAAAUAGGAAUUCUCUUGUAUUUAUGGACAGAACAUUGUGUUAUUUGGACUGUACUUUAAUACGCAAAUGGCUAUGUCAGUGGCUUCCUAAUAGGAUUUGAUUUGACUGUUAUGUAAUUUAAUGUUGCAUCUCCUCAUUCUGGAGAAAAAGUUGUGUAAAAAAAAAAAAAAAAAAUCUGAAAAAGACCUUUAAUUGUUACAUGUAUUAGGCUUAUGUUUUUCAGAUAAUCAAGUGAAAACGACUUUUGUUCAGAAAUUUGAUUUGUUUUCCUGAGGAAUGAUUUUUCUUUUUGUAUCAAAGAAAUACAACAGUCAGUGCGUGACUUUGAUAGUCAUUCAUUGUACAGUGAUUCUUUUGAAAAAAGGAUCAAAAUUCAGUGGUGCAGCAAGGAAACUAGUAUGAUUCUGGAGAUGACAGGAAAGGAGUUCCAGCUUCCAACUGUAAGGGUCUUCACCAGAAGGUCCUAAUGCUCUGCUAUUAAAACUCGUAAAAACUUCAAGGGUAAGAUUUGAUCUAAAUCAAAGAAGAUUUGGUCAUAUUUAUACAGAAACAAACUUUUACUCUGUGAUCCAUGAAAACCAGGUCUUGAUUGGUGAGUUAGGCUACAAGUCUUUCUUCCUCUUAUAGCUGAGCUGGAUGGAUUAGUUACCGCAGCAUUUGUGCAGGAAGCUGUGUUUUGUAACUAGACAUUAAUGAUAAGAUUCCUGUUAACUAGAAGUGGAGACACUUUUUAAAUCUUCCUUUGCCAGAAAGUUAUAUUUUUCUUAAUUCCUGAGUCAGUUAUUCCUUGAGAGGAAGGGCUGACUUCGUCUGCAGUAUUUCUGCGAGUGCAGGAUGUGAGCACUGUAGAUUCACCAUGGGGUAGAGGUCAUCUUUUGUUUCUUUCAUAUUGGUAAUUAUGAGCUCACUUGGAGUAUUCGUGUUGUCUUGUCCUUAUGGAGGGAUGUAUGUAUCUAUGUAUGAACGUCUACAAAGUAAUUCAUUUUGAUGCUUUUGCAAAAUGUUCUUUGUCUCUAUUGUUUCUAGCAUGGAGAAAGUACUAUUUGUAUUUCAGAUAGGUGCACCAGAGUCUUGUCCCUUGCAGAUUUCAACAAAACUGCUGCCGUGUCAUGUGUAAGAGUUGCUUGGAAGGAUUCUGUCCUAUUCAUUCCAUCUCACUGGCUGCAGGCUUUCAAAUCUCAGCCUUUCCUUUGAUAUUAGACUUUAGUGCUUACUCACUGUCAGUGUGACCAUUCCUCUUCAGUUAUUGAAGUUCCUAAUGGAGUCCAAAGAUUUAAAUCUUAACUUCUUAUGCUGACAUUAUGACCGUUAGAUUAAAUACUGUUGAUGCUACUGUUGUUUCCAGAUGCACUGAUGAGCACUCUCUAGUUUGAGAAAGACUUUGUUUUGAUCUGAUAUUUAGGAAAUAAAUGUGACCUUUUUUUUUAUUUUCGAGCUAAGACCUCAAAACUUCUAGUAAUGCAGUAGAGGGAGAAGGUAAAGGAAGGAAUGGAAUCAACUUUAGAAUAUGAUACAGUGUUCUAAUGUUCUAAUGUCAAACAUUGAUCUGACAUUCCAGAUUUGUCUGUAGAAUAUUUCUGUCUUUUGCCUCUGUCCUGAAUUUUUCAUUUGGUAAGAGCUUUGUUUUAAAUCAUGAGUGUCCAGCCUUUUGAUUUGCCUGGACUGCACUGAGUGAAGAGGAAUUAUCUUGGGCUGCAUAUAAAAUAUAUAAUAUAGGCAACGUGCAUAAGUAGAGAAACUUUAUUUGAAACAUUUAUUCUAAUGCUUUGAAACAUACAGAUAAGAAUAGAAGAGUGUUUCAGACUUUAUCAUAAAAUAUUUAACUUACUAUGUUACUUUCUUGUAAAAAAAAAAAAAAAAAAAAAAAGUGGCUAUUAAAUACAGAACUCCUGAAGUUAAGGCUCUGCUCUUUGCCAGGCCCGUGUUACUUGAUCAUAAACUGAACCAGGGCAUAGUUGCUGCAGCCCAGACUGCCUCAGGGUCUUAACUUCUUGAAUGAAUUCCUCUGCAUUGGUGAGCACCAGGUCUAGUAACGUGUCACCUCUGGUUGGUCUGUUUAGUACCUGGAUCUGGAAGUUGUCCUUACAGUACUCCAGAGGUCUCCUGGAUUGCUUGCAGCCACAGUGUUUUGGUUUUUUGUUUUGUUUUCAGCAGAUAUCUAGGUGGUUGAAAUCCUCCAUCAGGAUGAGAGCAUCCAUGUAAGGUUGAAGUGGUAGUGUGGUUAAUAAGAUUCCUAUUGUCCUUUAGUUAGUAUACCACCUUGUGAGUACUGUGAUUUACUCCUAAGUUGAAAUCAGUUGUUGGAACAAAUUUCUUGAUUAGCAGUCUUGCUUGCAAGGUUAAUAAUCCCAACUGCUGGUGAGAUCUGGAUGGAAAAAUAGAUGAUUCUCUAUCCCUUUGAAAAAACCUGAAGUAAGAAUGGCUCUUAAAAUCAGAAAAUAAAGAUAUGAAUAACUAUGCUCAAAUAUUGUUCAAUGUUUGUGUAAAAAGCAGUACUGAGUUGCAAGACGGUGAAAUACAAGCUGAUAGCAGAGAUGUGGAGCUGGCUAAAUCUUCAGCUGACACGUUAAUUGUAACUGUAAAUUUUUCCUGUGUUUAAAAUUGUUCCACUGUAAUCAAAGUACUACAGGCUAAUUUCAGCUUAAGAUAACAAUAAAAUACUCUGCUUGUUGCAAUCUCUUUAAAAAUCUUUGGAAGUGGAUGCCAAAAGUAUUUGCUGCUAUAUUUUAAAUAUAUAAUUGUGGAGAUGGUAAUGUAGCCAAAGCACUUAAGCUUUUUGGUCUCUUGGCUGCAAACUUGAAAACAUCUUCCUUUAAUUGAGAUUAGUAUCCAGUGGUUGAAUCUGUUACUGUUUGAUUCAGUGAAUCUUUAAGAACAGAUCAUGUUUCUUCUGGUUAAUUAAUCUGUUGUUGUAAACCGUUGACAGGUAGGUAACUUUUGGGUGCCAUUUAAUACAUUAGCAGGCCUUUUUUCUAGGUUACAGCUGUAAAGAUAAGCGGUAAGAAGCACUGCUUCAGCCAGGCCUGAAUAUUGAUAUAUACUGAAUAGUUCUGCUUUCUUAAUAGGAGGGAGGAUUUGGUAAACUCAUUUUGGCUUAAGUGAAAACAGUGUCUAACAAAACUUUAGGAUUCAUGCUUCUGGAACAGGUCAGUAGAAAGCAUAGAUAACAAUAGACUCUCCAUGCAAGUACUAACUGUACCUUAAGUGUGUGAUAUUAGAGCAAAAUAUUUUUGAAUAAUUACGUACAAUACUUCUUUCCAUCAAACUCUGUUUCCAUUAUAGAGAACACUUGAAACCUGUCAGAAAUGUAAAUAUGUUCUUCAAUUUUAGUAUUAAAAUUCCAUUCUGAUUUGUUGUUAGUCUCCAGUGCAAAGUUCAACUAUCAACUGUAUCUCAACCAUACUGUACAGUGGUAGGCUGAAGAACAGUUUGAAAAUUAAUGUUACCAGAUCAAGUCUAAGAUUAGAACUGUUAUUUUUUUCUCUCACAUACUUAAGCACUUAAAUACUAUGUAUUCACAGGCAAUCAAAUUUGAAACUACUCUUGAUUAAAAUGUUCAUGCAAAUUAAUCACAAGACUUUUUUUUUUCCCUGGACAGCAAUGUAUUUAACACAGCUCCAUAGAGAUUUACAAGUUUUGGAAAAGAAACUCAGCAAUCUGUUUCUUAGACCACAUUAAACCAUGGAGAUAAAACCAUUAAAACAUGAAAACAGUUUUUUGAAGCCCCUUAAGCACAAACUGUGUGCAUCCACGUUACACAAAUGUUAGCAUGCUGAUAACGAAGUGUUUUAAAGCUAGCCAGCUUAUUAUUUGCUGGUAUGGUAUCACACUUGCAUAUAUCUGCAGUUACAUUGACGCAGAAGUUGUCUCCGCAUCAGAGUUGUACAUUUGUGUCAGCACAAUUAUUCCAUGCAGCUAUUCUGUGUAUAAAAUGUAUUUAGUGAUUCUUAAAUUUUACAUUCACAUCAUCAGAAAUAUCACAAGUGAUGUGGGAAGAAGAAUCUAAAAGUUCAUUCCAGAAGGGAAAAUGGAUGGUCUGUUCCUUCAAGAAAGACUUUUAGAGAAAAAAGGGAAGCAUUUUGUAAUUCUGCUGAUUAUUUGAUAACUCUUCAGUCUCUCAUUUCUUUUCUUAUCUGUACUGUAGGAAAAGCAUGUCUGAAUUAGAAAACAGUAACAAAUGGUCAUUAUUUUUUUUCCCCCAUUGUUUUGAGCUUAGUCAACUCAAAAAAUUUUUGUGCUAUCUAUAAUGACAAGUUUUGAACUUGGUAGCCAUAAUAUUAAGUAUAUGCUGCUGUGGAGUUAAGCUGUUUAUGACUAUAAUCUCUACAUAUAAUUGACCUUUGAGACAACUGGCAUGCCGCAUCUGGAUCAGCGCACUGUACCAAUCACUGCCUUCCAUUGAAAGGAAUUUCUUAGAAGUGGUGGUGCCAUAGAGUUGAUCUUUUCUGAGAGGAGCUGAAAGCUGCAUUGAAGAACUGUAGAAGUUGUGUGAGGAAGAAUUCCAUUGUUAGUGAUUGCUGUAAACAUGUCUAAACACAAAAUCAGUAGCAGAUAAAAGCACAGUCACCUUGUCAAGGCUUUGGUGGUUGUUACUGAGAACAGAGACAUGAUGUUAAACCCAACUGUUCUGCUUGAGUUGAUGAGAAACCAUUCUUGGGUGGCUUGCCUAUUGUCCCAUCCUGAGAAAGUGUGUUAAAUGAUGAAAGUACUAUGCUUGGAAUGAGAGUAUGUAAAUAAAGGGCAGUCUUGAGUACAA